UAUACACUUCAAAUCAUUUUCAAUUUCCUUGCGACAAUUGAUACUAAGUGCUACAGGAAAUUGAAAAAAUUUUUCGCAAAAUGUCUUGGUCAUAAGAUAGAAAACUAUGACGAAGAUUUCAAGGUUUCUGGACUCUUGAUAACGCAU
ensembl:ncRNA K12H4.11 ncRNA